rnacentral:rRNA from 1 species
UACGUAGGGGGCAAGCGUUGUCCGGAUUUAUUGGGCGUAAAGCGCGUGUAGGCGGCCAGGUAGGUCCGUUGUGAAAACUCGAGGCUCAACCUCGAGACGUCGGCGGAAACCCUCUGGCUAGAGUCCGGAAGAGGAGAGUGGAAUUCCUGGUGUAGCGGUGAAAUGCGCAGAUAUCAGGAAGAACACCCGUGGCGAAGGCGGCUCGCUGGGACGGUACUGACGCUGAGACGCGAAAGCGUGGGGAGCAAACAGG